AGAGUUUGAUCCUGGCUCAGAACGAACGCUGGUGGCAUGCUUAAUACAUGCAAGUCGAACGAGAAAGGGCUUCGGCCUGAGUACAGUGGCGCACGGGUGAGUAACGCGUAGGUGACGUGCCCAUGAGUGGGGGAUAACAUAGGGAAACCUGUGCUAAUACCGCAUGUGUUGAACAAAUCUGAGAGUAGUUCAACAAAGAUGGCCUCUAUUUAUAAGCUAUCGCUAAUGGAACGGCCUGCGUAGCAUUAGCUUGUUGGUGGGGUAAUGGCUUACCAAGGCUACGAUGCUUAACUGGUCUGAGAGGAUGAUCAGUCACACUGGAACUGAGACACGGUCCAGACUCCUACGGGAGGCAGCAGUAGGGAAUAUUGCACAAUGGGGGAAACCCUGAUGCAGCAAUGCCACGUGAGUGAGGAAGGCCUUCGGGUUGUAAAGCUCUGUCCUUAGGGAAAAAUGGUUUGGUAGCUCACAUCUAUCAGAUUUGAUGGUACCUAAGAAGAAAGCACCGGCUAACUCCGUGCCAGCAGCCGCGGUGAUACGGAGGGUGCAAGCGUUGUUCGGAUUUAUUGGGCGUAAAGCGCGCGCAGGCGGGUUUGUAAGUCAGAUGUGAAAUCUCGGGGCUCAACUCCGAAACUGCGUCUGAAACUACAAAUCUAGAAUCUCAUAGGGGGUAGGGGAAUUUCACGUGUAGGGGUAAAAUCCGUAGAGAUGUGAAGGAACACCUGAGGCGAAGGCGCCUACCUGGAUGAGUAUUGACGCUGAGGCGCGAAAGCGUGGGGAGCAAACAGGAUUAGAUACCCUGGUAGUCCACGCCGUAAACGAU
rnacentral:rRNA from 1 species